rnacentral:tRNA from 1 species
CGAAUAGAAGCCCGCUGGUUAGGGCAGUUAGCUGUUAAUUAAUUUGUCGGUGGGAUCGAGGCCCGCCUAUUCAG